GGCCGCGUGGCCUAAUGGUUAAGGCGCUGGUUUUCGGUUAAUCUCCAUAUAAAUUAUGUGAGAACUGACCUACCAGCGAUUCUGAGUUCGAAUCUCAGCGCGGUCG